UAAGACUUUAAGUUAAUCCAAACUAUUAACCUUCAAAGUUAAAAAUAUCUAAAGUUAAGUUAAGUUUUAG
rnacentral:tRNA from 1 species